UACGAAGGGGGCUAGCGUUGCUCGGAAUCACUGGGCGUAAAGGGUGCGUAGGCGGGUCUUUAAGUCAGGGGUGAAAUCCUGGAGCUCAACUCCAGAACUGCCUUUGAUACUGAGGAUCUUGAGUUCGGGAGAGGUGAGUGGAACUGCGAGUGUAGAGGUGAAAUUCGUAGAUAUUCGCAAGAACACCAGUGGCGAAGGGCGG
rnacentral:rRNA from 1 species